UGUCUCUCACAUCAGCUCAAUCCGCAGCUUAACAGUGCAGAUCUGUGUAUCUUUCAACACUAAUAUUUCGGAAUGUGUGUGUCAGAGUAAGUUUAAUACUUUCCUGACAUGAUUUAAUGUUAAUUAAUUUUACUGGCUCGAUAUCCAGGUCAGAAUGGCAUUUUAGCACGUAUAU